rnacentral:rRNA from 1 species
GACGAACGCUGGCGGCAUGCCUAAUACAUGCAAGUCGAGCGAACAGAUGAAGUGCUUGCACUUCUGACGUUAGCGGCGAACGGGUGAGUAACACGUAAGGAAUCUACCUAUAAGCGGGGGAUAACAUUCGGAAACGGGUGCUAAUACCGCAUAAUAUCUUCUUCCGCGCGGAAGAAGAUUGAAAGACGGCUCUGCUGUCACUUAUAGAUGACCUUGCGGUGCAUUAGUUAGUUGGUGGGGUAACGGCCUACCAAGACGAUGAUGCAUAGCCGACCUGAGAGGGUGAUCGGCCACAUUGGGACUGAGACACGGCCCAAACUCCUACGGGAGGCAGCAGUAGGGAAUCUUCCGCAAUGGGCGAAAGUCUGACGGAGCAAUGCCGCGUGAGUGAAGAAGGCCUUCGGGUCGUAAAACUCUGUUAUAAGAGAAGAACAAAUUGUAGAGUAACUGCUACAGUCUUGACGGUAUCUUAUCAGAAAGCCACGGCUAACUACGUGCCAGCCGCCGCAGUAA